rnacentral:lncRNA from 10 species
UUGGACAGCCCUCUGCCUUCUGUUGGUGAAGCGCCGGGGCUGCUAAUGCUCCCUCCCCUCUUCCUCUUUGGCUCUCUCUCUCUCUUUUUCCAGACACCUUAAGGAAUUCAACAACCCCUCCCCUGCACACAGGCUUCUUCCAGGUGUGAAAUUCCAUGAAGGGCAGAGGGAAGGCAGGCAUGUGGGAGUUUUCUGUCCCUUGAGUAGGAGAAAGUUUCAGGAAGCCAGAUGCCAUGUUGCAAGAUUUCCUCUGGAGAGGGCCUCUUGGCAAGGAACUGAUGUCUCUGGCCAGCAGCCAGCGAGGACCUAAGAUCUGUCAACAGCCAUGCUUAUGGCUGGUCUAGCAGAGCCAGGUGCCAGGCCUGGCGGGAGCAUCCUUGUCUCUUAACUGACAGUGCCUCCACCUGGCCUUGCAGCUCCACUCGACAAAUACUAAAUAACAGGCUCUGGCAUCUCCUGAAGCUCUGCACUCAUUAACACACUGGGAGGUAAGUGCAGGCAACCAGGGAGAAUUUACUCUGCAGCAACAGGCUUCUCAUAUAGAAGCCAAACACACCCCAGCAGGUAUAGCUACCCCUCCUGUGGGUUAUCCUGGGUCCAUUCCAUCAUCAGAGGUCUGAGAAUACCCAACUGUUCUUUUAUAUUCUCAUGUUUGCUCCUCUGCCAGGUUGUCAGAGCUUGAAGGCAAAUUAUCGGUCUUCUUCCUCUUUAUUCCUCCAGCACCCAGCUGGGAGUAGGCAGAAGGGACAAUGAAUUGUGACUCGGAAAUUAAUCAGAUGAGACCUGAUGACUGAAGUACAUCACAGAGCUAGGAAGAGAGAUUACUAAGCAACACGGCCUUUUUUUCAGACAUCUCAGUUGACAACCUGAGCAAUAGCUCUGACCUGGAAGCAUCCAGCUUUGUAGCCAAAGAGAAAAAGCGCAGACCUUUGUCCCAGAAUUCUCAUCAAAAGUGUCUUUCAUCUCAUUGGCCCUGUGUGAGUCAUGUGCCCACCCCUAAACCAAUCACCAUGGCCUCAGGAAUGCAUUGUGUUGAGUAGUUUAGGCUG